GUUAGGGUGGCAGAGCCCGGUAAUUGCAUAAAACUUAAACCUUUACCACCAGAGGUUCAAUUCCUCUCCCUAACA
rnacentral:tRNA from 1 species